rnacentral:rRNA from 1 species
GCAUAUCAAUAAGCGGAGGAAAAGAAACCAACAGGGAUUGCCCUAGUAACGGCGAGUGAAGCGCCAACAGCUCAAAUUUGAAAUCUGGCGUCUUGGGCGUCCGAGUUGUAAUUUGCAGAGGGCGCUUGGGCAUUGCCAGCGGUCCAAGUUCCUUGGAACAGGACGUCACAGAGGGUGAGAAUCCCGUACGUGGUCGCUAGCCUUUACCGUGUAAAGCCCCUUCGACGAGUCGAGUUGUUUGGGAAUGCAGCUCUAAAUGGGAGGUAAAUUUCUUCUAAAGCUAAAUACUGGCCAGAGACCGAUAGCGCACAAGUAGAGUGAUCGAAAGAUGAAAAGCACUUUGGAAAGAGAGUUAAAAAGCACGUGAAAUUGUUGAAAGGGAAGCGCUUGCAGCCAGACUUGCCUGUAGUUGCUCAUCCGGGUUUUUACCCGGUGCACUCUUCUACGGGCAGGCCAGCAUCAGUUUGAGCGGUUGGAUAAAGGUCUCUGUCACGUACCUCCUCUCGGGGAGAUCUUAUAGGGGAGACGACAUGCAACCAGCCUGGACUGAGGUCCGCGCAUCUGCUAGGAUGCUGGCGUAAUGGCUGUAAGCGGCCCGUCUUGAAACACGGACC